UACGGAGGGUGCAAGCGUUAUCCGGAUUCACUGGGUUUAAAGGGUGCGUAGGUGGGCAAGUAAGUCAGUGGUGAAAUCUCCGGGCUUAACCCGGAAACUGCCAUUGAUACUAUUUGUCUUGAAUACUGUGGAGGUCAGCGGAAUAUGUCAUGUAGCGGUGAAAUGCUUAGAUAUAACAUAGAACACCAAUUGCGAAGGCAGCUGGCUACACAAAUAUUGACACUGAGGCACGAAAGCGUGGGGAUCAAACAGG
rnacentral:rRNA from 1 species